rnacentral:lncRNA from 1 species
CAGCGGGUGGAGGAAGUGCAGGAUACAGCCUCCAGUCGAGUUCCCUCACGGUCGCGCAUAACCCACGGCCAAGCUGCUCCAACUAGCUUCACAGAAGCCUCCUCGUGUGGUGGCAGGAUGCUAAACACGCGGGAAAUGACCAGAUCCCAUGGAUCUAGCCUCAACUGCUCUCUUCUACAGUGGUGAUCGGCCAACCGCGACGCACAAAAGGCUCGGACCUCCCUUCAUCUCAUGCUCCUCACACAUAGAUGACACAAAGCUUAUGAUAUCAAGACCCGGAGCUCGCGGGUAAACCACAGCCCACUUCCCUCGCUCACCCCCUCGUCCACCCCCUCACCCCUUCCUGUUCGCAGCCUAGACCGCUCACAACUCACCCUCACCAUUGUGUACAUUCCUCGCGCAUGUGGGCAUAGCUGGCCACACUCGAAACUCCCGCUCAUAACCCCUACUGUUUGCGUCUCUCACCCCUUUACAAUAGCAUCCUUGGCCGCACGCCUCCACUUCUCUCCCUUGCACCACGGCCUUAGCCGCUCGUGCAUCUUCCUCUCUUCAUCUCCUCUCAUAUUCUCCUCCUCCACUUGUGGCAUAAUACCACUCACAACUCUUCUCUUCCUCUCCUCUCCUCUCUUUCUCUUCUUUCCCUUUUCCCACUUUUCUUUUCUUUUUUUCUUCUUGGUGGAGAUUGCGGUCACAUGAUCUCCUCCUACUCUUCUACUUGCAGUAACCACCCCAAGCGGUUACCUUCUUUCUUCUCCUUCCUUCUUCUCCCUUUCUUCUUCUCUCUUCAGCACGCUAGUGGCCACAACUACUCGCAGCUAACUCCCUCACCCGCUCGCAUUUGCCCUGCUGUGAGCACCACCUUAUCCUCUCAUCUCUCAACCUCUUUCCCUUCUUCUUCCUUCUUCUGUUUCUCCUCUUCUUCCUUCCUGUGCGAGAUCGCCACUAGGCGAUUUCUCUUUUUUUCCUCUCAGGCUCAUGGUUGUGCCACUGCGCCACCUUCUUUUAAUUGAGAUUGGGCGAAAGUGAUCUCAUAUAUU